GGCCUUCCCGCUGCCUCCCACCCUGUCCCUUCCUGCCUUGGGGCCCAGCCUCAGCUGGCCAGCCCCUCCGGUGCUUCUUCCUGGAGACCCUGAGGCUGACUACGUGGCAGGUGUCUCUCGAUGUCCCCAAGGCCGCACCGCCAUGGCCCGCAUGCCACGGCUCCUUAGCUUGUAUGCUGACGCCCUUAUGCAUGGACCGAGCGCCCUGUGCAGCCCGCUCAGCCCCCGAGCCCGGAGAUCUCUGCUGCGUUCGCCUGGGGGCCAUGAGCUGCCCUCCGUGCUGACCGCUGACUGUGUGGCUGUAACCCUGUGGCUGUGGGUCCCGCUGCUCCUGUGGCAGGGUCUGUGAGACCCUCGGCGCUGGGGGACAGAGCUGGCCUUGGGCCCGAGACUACAGAAGGCUCUGACCUCCACCGCGCUGGGCCCUUGGACGCUGGCGCGGAGGCAGGAGUGGAAGGACUAUGCGGUGUCCGGAGGGCUCCUAGGGUGGCGCCCUUGGUUGUAGGGUGUGUGUGGAGGGUCUUCCCAGAGCAGGGUGGUUCCACUCCGGUGCGGAGCUGCAGGGGCUCCUGUGGCUUCGCGUCGGCCUCGCCGUCAGCCCUGACAGGGACAGGAGACGCGCCUGUCCUGGGGCGUGGCCGUGCUAGGGCCGGCCACAGGUUCGCACGUGCACAGUGAGUUCCCGGGAGGCCCUCUCCUGCGCGAAGCUCCAGGCUGGCCGUGUGUGCCCGGACGGGGUCCUAAGGCUCCGGUGUGGAGAAGCCUGCGUGCUGGGGACGGAGGCGCUGCUUCGAGACUGGAGGAGAAAAGAGCUGUUCCAGCGACACUCUGGGGACUUCUGGAUCUCAGUGGGAGCGCUGGGAAGAGCUCGUACGCAGCCUGAGUGUGGUCCUGGCAGGAGACGGUCUUCAGCCACGCAGGUGCACUCACAGCGUCCAGGACCAGGGGCAGGAAGACCAACAUUCACAUGUCCGCGAGAAGAAGGCCAGGGAGUCCGGACUGGAGCCGGACACAGGAUUAAAGAGUGACGGGUCACACCGCCGAAGGCCGGCUGCCCCAGAAACAAGAGGCCCCGCAGACGGGCCGGCUCCUGGCGGCCGUCCCCACCUCCCCGCGCCCCCACACCGCGGGGCUCGGCCUCGCCCUGCGCGCCGUCUCUCCGUAGAAAGGAGCCUUUCCCGCAGGCAGCCGCGUAUGACGAGAGGGUGACCCUCGCGGCCGCCGUUGGGAACGCCACUCUCUCUUUCCUUUCCGACUCGGAGACGGCCGGCGUCCCACCGUGCUCAGAAAAGGUGUUUUGCUGCUGGAGGGGAGCCGUGGGGGUCCCAGCAAACCAGCGGGGCUUGCGCCUGCGAAGUGCUGGGUCCAGACCUGAUGCUCUUGGACGCCCCAGGCUGUGGGGAUGGGAGUUUGUGCCGGGACGUCCCAGCCGGCGGCACUCGGGGACAGCUGCUGUCAUUUCCCACGUUCUUGAGAAAGAAGACGCGUCGAGGUGUCUGUCUGGUCGCUGCGUCAGGAGGGAGGGGCCCAGUAGGCAGGAACCAGGGCCACGUCUACAGAGCCGCUCCCCACCCACGCUGGGCUGAGGGCCUUCAGGCCGUGGCUGCCCGGUUUCAGAAGGUUCUCUGUUCUAAGUCAGGAUUUUUAAAACGACUUGCUUUAAAUUUUUAAAAUAUGUAACAGCCAGAGAGAAAGACGGAUUCCGCAGGUACGGUGUCCUUCUGUUUCUCUCACGCGGGAGUCUUUGCAGAAUCCAUGAGGCUUAUCUGUCGUCUUGUGGGCAGAGCCGGGGGGACCAGCCCAGCCUCCCAGGGAGCCGUUUGAGGCCGUCCCAAGACCCAGCCCCAGAGAGCAGGGUGCCCCUCCAACCCCGGAGGCCCAGCACGGGCUUGUUCCUGCCCCCCAGACCCAGACCCCAGCUGGGCUGCGCGCCACCCAUCUGCACCUCGCUCUGCCUCGGGGCACACACAGGACGGGGAGGGCUGACUGAUUGGGGCUAGUGGAUUCUCUCUGUCGUAUUGGCCCCAGAGCCACAGCCCUGCAGGGAUGUCCCUCCGGCUGCAGGGCCAUGGGUCCACUCCAUCGUGCCGUGGGCAUCUGGGCCGGGAACACCACCGAGUGCCCAGAAGGCUGGCACUUCCCCUCCUCGGCCUCAGGAGCCCAUCCUCGUGGGUGCGGGCGGACCCGCGGUCAGAACACCAUGGGUCCUGUCCACUUUGGAUCUGAGCACCCUCCGUGCUGGUCCCUCCGGGGCCCCGUGGUCAGGCCCCACGCACCCCCACACCUGUUAGCGACUGUCCACCCUCCACACGCUCACGCAGCGCAUGGCCCGUGGCCGUCCUGGAAACGCGUGCCUUUCAUGUUGUCAUCCGGCUGACGGGAAGAUAGGAGUCCUGGUCUGUCCUUCUGUCUCUGAGUCACCUCGGGACCUGCCCUUGGACCCCAAGGAGCGGGAAGCCCUUCCCUCUGGUGCGGCUGGCACCUGUCCCACAGGCGACCUUUGGCUCACUGUCCCCUGCUGGUGUCCCAGGUGACGUCCUGCUCUGCUGCUACCAGCAACGCCCACGCAAGCCGCUCCGCGGGGAGCUGGACUGGGGCUGCCAGCCAGCCAGGUGCGCCCACGGGGGCCGGUCCCCAGCCGUCCCCCGCAGGGCAGAGGGCCCAGCAUACGGCGCGCGGCUUCGUGGGACGGGACUGGCCGGAGCUGUCGUUGCUCCCUGACCUCUGCCAGAGCCGGGGGGCCCAGGGCUUGGCGUCAGCCUCCUCGUGGCGACGCCGCUGAGCUCCGGCUGUGAAACACGUGGGGCUGGAGCCCGUGCCGUCGCUGGCGGAGGGGACACGGGUUCUUCGUCACCCGCGCCCCAGCGGGGUCUGCGGUGACAGGGCGGUCGGAGCGCUGCCGCGCGAGCAGUUUCAGCCGCUGCCUGGGCUCCGACGGCCCGGCUCCGUCCCCCGCGGCCCGCGGGCGCUCCCGUUGUCUCUGACCCCACGGGAUGCGGUUCUCUGUGACGUGCUCAUCUGUGGCUCCGCAGCCUUUGGAACGGCGAUAAUUACUCUCAUCCACGGGAAAGCACUCCGGCCCCGGAACACCCCCUCCCCGUGGCCUGCCCACCGCCGUGCCGAGUGCCGCGAGGGCAGCCGUGCCACAGGGCCCGGUGCUCGCCGUGGGCUCUGACUCGGCCCCCCGGGGCCUUCAGGCUGCUGAUCGCGUUCCUGGCAGGGCCGUCACAGUGACAACCCCCUUCGCCGCGCUCCCACAAGUACCUCCUACCAGCAGUGCGUCAGCAGCUGCGUGUCGUGAAACCCAGGACACCGGGACAGCUGGCACAGAGACGAGGUGAGUGGGCAGAGAGGAGGGCGUGCCCGCCAGGUGCGUCUGAGCUGGGCACUGUGACCAGAGGGGCCUUCGGUAGAGAGUUCCAGACGGCCCGCUGGUGAACUCACUGCACUCGGAGAACGUGUGACAUCGGGACUGGAAGAUCGGAGACACGCGGGCUUCAGCAACAGACGCUUCUGUCCCCCGGUCCUAGGGACUAGACGCCCCGUCUCCAGCCUCCUCCCGAGGCCUCGCCCCUGGGCUCCUCUUCUAGGAGCCGUUUGCGUGUGUCUGUGACCGAAUGUCUUCUCAGAAGGACACUUGCCGUGUGGAAUUAGGGUCCACUCUAGUGACCUCACUUUACCUUAACCCCCUCUGAAAGGCCCUUUCAGAUGCACCCGUUUCUGUUGGCGUGUGCUGUGUCUCCUCCACGUGGGGUGGGGGGUGUGCGGGACACUCCUGGGUCCCCCCUCGGCUGCCCUGUGGGGUGGUCUCAUGACCACAUGGGCCGGCGUCACACUCAGGAGCCCACGUCCCUCCAGAGGUGACCAGUGAGGCGGGGUGUGUGCAGACGUGCGCGUGCGCCCGGGGCGUUGGACGCAGGGUGUGAGCACACGUGAGGUUCCCGUCAGUGUGACGAUCUUACCGGUGCUCAGACUGUUGUCCGCCGGGGGGGCUCCAGGGGGGCUCCCGAGUCCGGGGACCGUUGUCUCCUUCCCUGCUGUCCCCGGUCACCCUCCACGUUUUCUGCCCCAGCCCGGAACUGCUUCUCCCAGGAGUCCUGGCUCCUUUGGGCAGGAAAUGGUGUUGAGAGCCCACAGGCUGCCGUGACAGGCCCCCUGCAGCGGGGCCCCCACCAGGGCCUCCUGGCGGAGCGUGCCACAGGAGAUGCUGCUCCGGGACACAGGAACCGUCAGCUUGCGUGUCCGUGUCUGGGUAAACCCCUCCUGACGGACCACGUGUCGCAGCCAGCUUCCACGGAGCGUGACCUCACUCAGCCGGGGAGCCUGCAUGCAGGGCCUCCUAGAAGGGGCUUGUAAACCCUCAGCUCGCAGGAGGGGCGACCCCGGGUUUAUGUGACCUGGUGCCCUUGAGGGUGGCCGGGCUGCUGAGGGGCAGUGAGGCCACAGCCUUCGGAGCUCUGUGGAGGGCGCGGGCCCCACACCCCCGCCUCUCCUGCUGAUCUGCAGCGUGGGCCCCUCCCGCACGCCUGCUCUGCUCCAG